GUGUUUGGUUAAUGAUUUAUUCACUCAUUAGUCAUUCCACAAACUUGUCUUGAGCACCUGUUAUGUACCCAGCACUGUGCUGGAAUGCUGAGGAGACAGGAGUGAAGUAAAAAGACAUGGUUCCGGCAGGAAACAGGCAAGGAGAGCCUUGACUUGACGGAGUCUGGCUAUAUCGCCAGGCUGGAAUGCAAUGGCGCGAUCUCUCCUCACUGCAACCUCCGCCUCCCGGGUUCAAGCGAUUCUCCUGCCUCAGCACCUCGAGUAGCUGGGACUACAGGCGCGCGCCACCACGCCCAGAUGAGAAAACUGAGGCACAGAGAGGUGAAAUAAGGCCCCCAGAAUGCUCUUCUCCAAGACUUAGAAAAAUCAAAUGCUAUCCAUCCCUCAAGAUACAUCCCUCCAGCCCCUCCUUGAAGUCUCCUGCAGCUAGAAGUAGAAGUAGCAUCUAUCCCCAUCUGGACUCCUUAGCACUUUGCUGUACCUGCCUUAGUCCCCAUCUCUUUACACACACACACACACACACACACACACACACAGAGUAUUAUAAUACUAUUACCUAUUAUAUUACAUUAUAUUAUUGUAGUUCUACAGGAACUACAAGGAAUUCUACUGUGAAUUCCUUAAGGGUGGGAUACAUUUUACAAUCAUCACUGUUUCUCUCAUUAGUUGUGGAAUCAAAAAAAUGAGUGCACGAUGAAAAAUUAUUCAAACACAUACAUGCUUUCAUUCCAAUUGAAAAUGUAAAAAUAUUACUGUUAAAACAAUAUUAAAGGACAUGUAAUACAAUUCAAAUAUUCCUACCAUGCACGAUUGUUUUCACUUCUUUGUGCCUCUUUCACCAUUUAUUUGUGUGCAUACUCAGCAUAUUUGUUUGUGUAACAGGAUGUUAAAAAUAGAAUUUGUUGCCUGUAGUUUUUGCUAAAGCUCUACUAGACUGGAACAGAACAAUAGGUGGUAAAUACUCCAUUCCUCAGUGAGAUGCUACCUACCUAUGCAGAGCUGGAAAAGAUUUUGCAACCUGAAAACCCAAUCCUUUCUGAGAUAUAAAAGAACAGAAGAGUCUGGAAGUGAUUUCUUCGGAGAAAUUCAUUUUCUUAUUCCAGAGAAGAAACUUCAAGCUCAGAAUAUUGGCUACUACCUGUGAUAAACAUUUAAAUUAUUGGAACGAGAGAGUUUUUAUAACUAAAUUUGAAAGAAGCAAUUUUUUUUAUCAAAGACCAACCCGAAGAUUCAUGACCACUACCUGUGAUUUCAUCCAUGUUGCAAGGAAAAUCCUGCCCCACUUCCCCAAUAGGAAGAGUGGUGGGGGAAUAAUAAAGUUGUUUUAUGAUGCAUCCUGUGGACUUCUACUCGACAGAAUGGUAACAUUCAACUGUAAUCAGGAUGAGCAAGCCACUUUAUUAAACUAAAAUUUUAAACUUUAAUAAAUAUAAUACAAACUGAAAAAUAAAAAUAAUUUUUCAACUCUACACAAGUAUGUUAACUGCAUAAACAGUGAGAUGUUACACAGGGCUGAGGCCUAUACUUCUUCAGUUUGUACAUUAAACGUCUCCAUGGAGGGUCAAUUGCAUCCUACCUAUUCUGACAGUUAUCAGGUAGCGAGAGAUUUGAGGAAGAGGCGCUUUUCUAAUCUGGGGUAGGAAAAGGAAUGAUACCAUGUAUCAUGAGAAGUAUUUGCACAUAGUGUGUCAAUUAAGCAAGUGCUCAGACUAUUAACAACAUUACUAUGUGAUGAAUGUUUAUACAGUGGAUUCAAAAAUAAGCUUCUUUCCAGAAAGCAGCUUAGUUUUCAUUAAUUAUUACCAGCAUCUUGGUAAUUAUUUAUUUAAUGGUUUAAAAGUUAAAGUUUCAAUCUAUAUUUGUUUUUUUAACAUCAGCCAAGGAAAUACAUGUCUGUUAUACUGCAUCUUUGGAAGUAUGCAAUAAGUGUAACUAUUGAAUCUAUAUUGAAGAGCCACAAGACACUGAAUUUAAUUGGACGAGACUAUUUUAUUUAGGAAGACAAUCAUCUCCUGUGAUCAGCUUAAGGUUUUUGUUUUGUUUUAUCUGGAACAAGCUAAGUUCAUAUUUAGAAAAUAAAGUUAGUUUUUUGGGUGCAUGAGUUUUAGAGUAAAUUAGUAAUUUAGUAAACUUUGACAUUUCCACUUUGUCUCCAAACACAUUUAAAUUCUAUCUGUCUGACUGAAGUUCUAAGGCAUUCUGUGGUUACUUAGAAAUGAUUCCUUAUAUUAAUGUUUACAAAUGCUAAAUUGUAUUUGUUAAAUACAUGUCUUAUUGCCUAAGAGUUUUCCUUUCUUAUAAGUUUAAUAUAAAUGUCUAGGAAAUAAGACUCCCAUUUAAUAGCUUAUAAAGAAUGCUGAUGUAUCAGCAGUGGCCUUGACAUUAUUGGAUACAAGUAAGAUCUACACUGAUGAUUAAAUCAAAUUGGCUAAGAUUAUUCGUUCUAAUAAAAGCACUGACUCCAUGAAGUUUUCUUGUGGCUGAAAUUAACAUUCGUGUUCCUACAAGCUCUUUAAAAUCUUAGUUACUGAAAAUUAUUCCUUUUGACCUAAUUUUUUCUUUACUUUGGAUGUAUUUGACAAGGUAGAGGUUAGGGAUUGGAGAGUAUGUAAAGAAUGAAAUAAAAUGUAGUCACUUUUAACUAUAUCCACAUAUAUCCACAG
rnacentral:lncRNA from 1 species